rnacentral:tRNA from 1 species
GGAGGUGUAGCUCAAUGAUAGAGUGCUUGCCUAGUGUGCAUGAGGCCCUGGGUUCAAUCCCUGACAACCCCC